rnacentral:rRNA from 1 species
UACGUAGGGUGCGAGCGUUAAUCGGAAUUACUGGGCGUAAAGCGUGCGCAGGCGGUUCGUUAAGUUCGUUGUGAAAGCCCCGGGCUCAACCUGGGAACUGCAAUGGAAACUGGCGGGCUUGAAUGUGGCAGAGGGUGGCGGAAUUCCCCAAGUAGAGGUGAAAUUCGUAGAUAUGGGGAGGAACACCGGUGGCGAAGGCGGCCACCUGGACGGUAACUGACGCUGAGACGCGAAAGCGUGGGGAGCAAACAGG